CCCUUCUGUUGCUGUAGGACCCAGAGAGAAACAAAAGCUUAAAGACCUGAGUCAUCACAGAGCUGAGGAUGAUGAUUGCUGCCACAAACAUGAAAUAUGGGAAGUUGCAGCCAUACAUCCGCCUUGGUAUACGGGUGUCGCCACCAAGUGGGAAGUUCUCUUGAAACGACUGUAUUCGCAGUCCUUUAACAGGAAUGCAGAAACUGUUUGUCCCAAGAGAAAAAAUUAGAAUUUCCCUUGGCUACCAUCUCACACCUACAGUAUACCAAGCUUAUCAGAGGCUGCAAUAGAUGACAUUGUGUAUUUCAGUCACACUCAGGAAUCAUCCACAGGCACUACAGCAAGUGUGCCACUCAACCAAGAGUCCCAACUACCUAUGGACCAUCACCUAACACUGCCAUCUGUGGAUAUACCUCAGAUCAGUAAAGAUAGGUAAAAUUAACACUAUUUCUAAUAUACAGUAAGAGUGCAAUUAAAAAAAUACAUUUCAUAGUUUGAAUGUAUACCUACUGUACUACACAUUUCUUUAUUAUAAUGUAUACACAGUAUAUGUAUAUCUGUA